AUCCUGUAAUAUAGCUCAGUUGGUUAGAGCAUGGUGCUGAUAAUGCCAAGGUUGCAGGUUUGAUCCCCAUAUGGGACA
rnacentral:tRNA from 1 species